ACUCCUACGGGAGGCAGCAGUGGGGAAUAUUGCACAAUGGGCGAAAGCCUGAUGCAGCAACGCCGCGUGAGGGACGACGGCCUUCGGGUUGUAAACCUCUUUUAGUAGGGAAGAAGCGAAAGUGACGGUACCUGCAGAAAAAGCACCGGCUAACUACGUGCCAGCAGCCGCGGUAAUACGUAGGGUGCAAGCGUUAUCCGGAAUUAUUGGGCGUAAAGAGCUCGUAGGCGGUUUGUCGCGUCUGCUGUGAAAACUGGAGGCUCAACCUCCAGCCUGCAGUGGGUACGGGCAGACUAGAGUGCGGUAGGGGAGAUUGGAAUUCCUGGUGUAGCGGUGGAAUGCGCAGAUAUCAGGAGGAACACCGAUGGCGAAGGCAGAUCUCUGGGCCGUAACUGACGCUGAGGAGCGAAAGCAUGGGGAGCGAACAGGAUUAGAUACCCUGGUAGUCCAUGCCGUAAACGUUGGGAACUAGAUGUAGGGACCAUUCCACGGUUUCUGUGUCGCAGCUAACGCAUUAAGUUCCCCGCCUGGGGAGUACGGCCGCAAGGCUAAAACUCAAAGGAAUUGACGGGGGCCCGCACAAGCGGCGGAGCAUGCGGAUUAAUUCGAUGCAACGCGAAGAACCUUACCAAGGCUUGACAUAUACCGGAAAAGUUCAGAAAUGUUCUCCCCGCAAGGUCGGUAUACAGGUGGUGCAUGGUUGUCGUCAGCUCGUGUCGUGAGAUGUUGGGUUAAGUCCCGCAACGAGCGCAACCCUCGUUCUAUGUUGCCAGCACGUAAUGGUGGGAACUCAUAGGAGACUGCCGGGGUCAACUCGGA
rnacentral:rRNA from 1 species